AUAAGCGUUGAAAAAUAUUUUGGGCUAGGGGCCCCACGGGCCCCCUGCACCCCAAGGGCCCCUGGGCAGCGGCCCCGCUGGCCCAGUCCGAAAUCCGUCCCUGCUUCUACUCCUUGUAGUGUGUCAGACCUGACUGCAAUGACCGAUCUUGCCGCGUUGGCGUUUCUCGUGGCAGACGAAAUCGACAUCGUGGAAAUUCCCGUUUUUGAUUGAAGAAUUCGGUGAACAGCAAAGGUGUGUUCCAAAAAUUAUUGGGUUUGUGGAUGAUGUCAUCCCUCUAUACAAUCUGUCAGAGUUUAGGAGUCAUUUCCGGCUUUCUAAAGGACAAGUAGAGGAUCACCACACUUGGUCCUGUUUACCAAAAUCCCCUGAACACCAAAGUGCUCAAGCUCUGGUGGAGGAUCCCUGAUCCCUCAUGCCAAAGGGUCUGCACAUCAUGGGAGACUCAGCCUUCCCACUCUUGCCUCAGUUGCCGAAGCCAUACCGGGACAACGGACACCUCACAGACCAGCAAAAAAAUAACAGGAAACUGAACGGUGCUCGUGUGGUCAUUGAACAGGUAUUUGGAAUUCUAAAAUCCAGAUUACGCCGACUGAAAUACCUGCAAAUGGUAAGUAUUCAGAAGAUUAUUUCAGCAGUGUGUGCCUGCUGCAUCCUACAGUAUACAACCUGACAUAAUUAACAAUGAGGUCCUGGAUGAUGACAUUUAUCCACCUCAGCUUCUAACUGAACAGGCAGUUCAUUACAGAGACACAAUUUAGCAAUAGUUUAUAAAGGCCAAACCAAAGCCAAACACGCACCUCAGCCUGUUACAUGUGCAAGCAACUGUUUAUAGAUAUUAGCUCUGCCUUUAACACAUUCAUCCCUCAAAAGUUGAUUGUGGAACUAAGUGGGUUAGGGCUGAACACCACUCUCUGCAAGUGGAUUUUGGAUUUCCUGACAGAGAGGCCUCGUUUUGUACAGUUACGUUGCAACACCUCCAACAGCAUCACGGUACAGGAGCUCUGCAGGGCUGCAUACUUAGUCCUCUGCUUUUCACCCUGCUGACUUGUGUGCUGCUACUGUAUGCAGUCAUAACACCAAUCCCAUCAUCAAGUUUGCAGAUGAUACUACUGUGCUGGGACUGAUAAGCAGAGACUGCAUACAGAGAGGAGAUGGAACGGCUGUCUGCAUGGUGCAGAGACAACUUAUCUCUCAACAUUGAGAAGACAUGAGAUAAUUAUGGAUUUUAGGAAGACUUUUCCUGUCCAUACUCCACUCAGCAUGAACGGGUCAGCUGUGGAGAUCGUAAGGAGUACCAAGUUCCUCGGUGUGCACAUUACUGAGGAACUUGCAUGAACAGACACCCCUCCUCCAUAACCAAGAAUCCCAGCAGAGAUUAUACUCCCUGCGGCGGCUGAAACGGGCGAGGCUCCUCCCUUCCAUCCUCACCACGUUCCACAGAAGCACCAUCAAUAUUAUUCUGAUCAGCUGCAUCAAUACCUGCCUUCUGAACCUCUCCAAAUCUGGGCGCACAAGGCACUCCAGCACAGCUGUUCUCCGGUCAGCAUUGACUUCGUAUGACUCAAAGAAUGAUCCAGCUUGACUUGCUGGUUUCCUACCCGUGGCCCCGUCUGUAGCUGUUUUGGUUAAAAACAGCAGGAUCAGGCUCUGGUGCUGAAGGCUGAGGGGUAGAGAGGGGCGUGGAGGGUAUCGUGCCCUCUGGGGCGCUCCCAACUCCUGACUGGCCAAAUAUUUCACCUAUAAUCUGUGGAAACAAAGACAGGUUUAAGUCCAGCAAAGUGACAUUAGCUAGAAAUUCUGUAGUAAUUGUUGGAAGACUCAUACUAUGUGACCUAAUUAGUAGUGUACAGUUAAAAUGGCAUAAUGUUAACAUUUAUAUCAAGACUGGUAAACAUUAUUCUACUUACUGUGUAACAGUCCCAGUUGAUUCUUGCUGCUCCAGUAGUCUGACAUCUGUCUUUAACCCAGGGGUGUCCAACUCCGGUCCUGGAGAGCUAUUAUCCAGUAAGUUUUCUAUCCUACCUGGCU